AGAGUUUGAUCAUGGCUCAGAAUCAACGCUGGCGGCGCGCUUAACACAUGCAAGUCGCACGAGAAAGUGGAGCAAUCCAUGAGUAAAGUGGCGUACGGGUGAGUAACACGUGGAUUAUCUACCUUUUAGUGGGGAAUACCCCUGGGAAACCGGGGACAAUACCGCAUAAGCUCGUGAGAGGAAAGCCGAAAGGCGCUGAAAGAGGAGUCCGCGGCUGAUUAGCUAGUUGGCGGGGUAACGGCCCACCAAGGCGAAGAUCGGUAGCCGGCCUGAGAGGGCACACGGCCACACUGGCACUGAAACACGGGCCAGACUCCUACGGGAGGCAGCAGUGGGGAAUCUUGCACAAUGGAGGAAACUCUGAUGCAGCGACGCCGCGUGAGCGAUGAAGCCCUUCGGGGUGUAAAGCUCUUUCGGCAGGAACGAUAAUGACGGUACCUGCAGAAGAAGCUGCGGCUAACUACGUGCCAGCAGCCGCGGUAAUACGUAGGCAGCAAGCGUUGUUCGGAAUUACUGGGCGUAAAGAGUGUGUAGGUGGUGUCGUAAGUUUGGUGUGAAAUCUCCCGGCUUAACCGGGAGGGUGCGCCGAAGACUGCGAUGCUGGAGUAUGGGAGAGGAAAGCGGAAUUCCUGGUGUAGCGGUGAAAUGCGUAGAUAUCAGGAGGAACACCUGCGGUGUAGACGGCUUUCUGGACCAUUACUGACACUGAGACACGAAAGCGUGGGUAGCAAACAGGAUUAGAUACCCUAGUAGUCC
rnacentral:rRNA from 1 species